rnacentral:lncRNA from 1 species
CCUGUUCAGAGCGUAACACACCACAAUUCCACUCAGAAAUAAAAAAAGGACACUGCAUGAAAAGAACACAAACAGAAGCUCCUCAUGAACAAUCCAGAGAAACUAUUUAUUGUUACAAGACUGGGAACAUAAGCAACUUAAUUUUCCACACAGACAAUCCCCUGGCAUGGUACAGCUCUGUCUUGGUGACGACUCCCCCACACCAAGUGAGUCGCUCAACACCCCCACAGACGAGGAACCCCAAGACGAACAGGUCAACACACUCCAGUCAGCACAGACAACAGUCCAGCACAACAACACCCCCUCAACUAGACUCAGAGAGCUGGAGGGGGGUGAGAGACGUGUCUGCACUCUGGACUUUGGUGAGAAAACUUCAAUAGGAGAAAGAGUAGGAGCGGAAGGAGGAGGCCCAGCGGCAGGAGAAGAUGAGAGAAGAGGAGGAGAAAAAGAUGAAGGAGGAGGUGGUGAGAAAGAUGAAGGAGAUGAGAAAGAGGAAGUAGGAGGAGGAGAGAAAGAUGGAGGAGGAGGGAAUAAAGAUGGAGGAGGAGGGAAUAAAGAUGAAGGAGGAGGAGAGAGAAAUUGAUGAGGUGAGAAAGAUGAAAAAGGUGAGAAAGAUGGAGGAGGAGGUGAGAAAGAUGAAGGAGGAGGUGAGAAAGAUGAAGGAGAUGAGAAAGAUGGAGGAGGAGGUGAGAAAGAUGAAGGAGGUGAGAAAGAUGGAGGAGGAGGUGAGAAAGAUGGAGGAGAGAAAGAUGAAGGAGGAGGUGAGAAAGAUGGAGGAGAGAAAGAUGGAGGAGGAGCGGAGCAGGCCCUACUGUCUGGAGGAGGAGCGGAGCAGGCCCUACUGUCUGGAGGUGGAGCGGAGCAGGCCCUACUGUCUGGAAGAGGAGGGGAGCAGGCCCUACUGUCUGGAGGAGGAGCGGAGCAUGCCCUACUGUCUGGAGGAGGAGCGGAGCAGGCCCUACUGUCUGGAGGAUGAGCGGAGCAGGCCCUACUGUCUGGAGGAGGAGAGGAGCAGGCCCUACUCUCUGGAGGAGGAGCGGAGCAGGCCCUAAUGUCUGGAGGAGGAGGGGAGCAGGCCCUACUGUCUGGAGGAGGAGCGGAGCAGGCCCUACUGUCUGGAGGAUGAGCGGAGCAGGCCCUACUGUCUGGAGGAUGAGCGGAGCAGGCCCUAAUGUCUGGAGGAGGAGAGGAGCAGGCCCUACUGUCUGGAGGAGGAGAGGAGCAGGCCCUACAGUCGGGAGGAAAAUACAUUUAAAUAAAUAAUAUGCCCUCCUAAAACUGAUUAUAACUCCAGUUCUGUUUGUGAUGUGAAUAUUCUUACACCGACAGUGUGUUCGAUAGACUCAUUUAGGACUUGUCAAGGACGGUGGGGCUGCAAAAAAUAAAUGAUGAGCUGUCAAAAAUGACUGCUUUAGUGGUUCUAGCGGUAAAAAGUGUAGUAACAGCUCGACUUUAGAUCAUUAGAAAGCAUUCGGCAAAAUACACCUGAAUGGAUUUCUGCAAAUAUGUCGAUACCGCGGGAGUUUUCUUACAUUUGGGAUCUUUACAGUCCUAUUGAUCAAACAAAGUGAACAGUUAGGUUGUUUGCCUAUGUACUUGCCUGCCUGAGCACCAAUUUGAUCGAUGCCAAAAAAAACAUUUGAUUGACAACUAAGAAAUAUGCUAACUGUGGAUAACAGUCAUUCAAGUUUUCAUUAUAGCUUGCUAACAAAAGUGAUUGACAUUUCUUGCUAGCUAACCAAAUGACACCUGCAUCUCUAGCUGUAGCCACUGAAAAUAAAAACGAUACGGGGGGAAAAAGUCGGCCACUCACCCACUCGUCCAAUGACAUGACAUCCUCCCAGCAGCUAGCUAGCUAGCUAGCAUUAGGCUCUAUAUUUAGGCGUGCUAAAUAGCUACAUAAAUAGAUACGCUAGCCUAUUAGCCUAUUAGCCUAUUAGCCUAUUAGCCACGUUAUGACUGACUUGUUAGCGUUAGCCUCUCUGGUUUGAUUGUACUUCACAUUGCUAAACAUUAGCUACAGUCGUCCUGAAACUGUGCAUCCCGAAUGGCUGGAGGCAGUAAACAAUGUCCCAGGCCAGCGG